rnacentral:rRNA from 1 species
CAAAAACAUGUCUUAAUGUUAGUUAUAUUAAGUCUAGCCUGCUCAAUGAUUUAUUUAAAUAGCCGCAGUAUUUUGACUGUGCGAAGGUAGCAUAAUCAUUUGUCUUUUAAUUGAAGGCUUGUAUGAAUGGCUGGAUGAGGGAGUAACUUUCUUUACAUUAAUUGGUUGAAUUUAAUUUUUAAGUUAAAAAGCUUAAAUUUUUAAGUGGGACGAGAAGACCCUAUAGAAUUUUAUUUUUAUGUUAUUCUUAAUUAUUUUAGUGAUUAGAUAAUAAGUUUAAUUAUAAAUUUUGUUGGGGUGACAGUGAGAUUUGUUUAACUCUCAUAUAUUAUAUUUUAUUUAUGAUUAUUUUAAAGAUCCUAUUUUWCGGAUAAUUAGAUCAAAUUACCWUAGGGAUAAC